UACGGGGGGGCAAGCGUUGUUCGGAAUUACUGGGCGUAAAGGGUCUGUAGGUGGCUUGCUAAGUCAGACGUGAAAUCCCUCAGCUUAACUGGGGAACUGCGUCUGAUACUGGUGAGCUUGAGUGCAGGAGAGGAACGCGGAAUUCCAGGUGGUAGCGGAUGAAAUGCGUAGAAUAUCUGGAGGAACACCGGUGGGCGAAGGCGGCGUUC
rnacentral:rRNA from 1 species